GCGGGAGUAGCUUAAUAGGUAGAGUACAACCUUGCCAAGGUUGGGGAACGAGUUCGAUUCUCGUCUCCCGCU
rnacentral:tRNA from 1 species